GUGGGGAGGGGGGGUACAGGCUGUGCUAUUCAGCGGGUUUGGUGCUCGUAGAAUUAGCCACCUGCCCUUGGCAGCGCAGGAGAGCGAGCGCCCGAAGGACAAUUUGCAUUGUGUGCGCCUUGCCUUGUUGGCGAGGAUGCGGGCGCUGGAGGGCUGGGCGGACGCUGGAGCCCCUCUCGCGUCUGCCCUCCGGCUUCUCUCGCGGCUGCCACAGCCUGGAACCAGCCAGCGUUGGUUUCCGACAACGGCGUUCUCUUUACCCUGUUCAGGCUUAAAGCACGGCUCUGAGCGCCCAAAGGGUAAGAAGAAGGAAAUCUUCAUUUUAGAAGAAGGUGGCGAUGGUGAAGAAGAAGAAGAAGAUGAUGCAACAGUAGCAGCAACGGGUGUUUUUUCAGCUGCCGCAGCAAUUCGCCGCGCACCUGUCGCCCGUGGAUAGAGUUGUCAUUCUCCUCUCUGUAAGGGGGUGGGGGUGGGGGGGGAAGAGAGGUUGUAAUCUGGAGCCCGGCUUUGAUUUAUUCCUUUUCUAUCAGUGAUUAAUGCGCCUUAAUUAGGUAAUCUCCAAACCAUUAUUUACAACGGGUGCGGACAAAGGGAAAAGCUGAUGAACCAGCACUUAAGUCGGUUUGAAAUUAUGGAGGUGGAGGAAGGGAAUUGGGGUGGGUGGGGGGGGGUAGGUGGGGGCAGCGGCAGGAGCCGGAGGGAGACAGGGAUGAGAGAGAGGGGAAAGAAUCGAUCCCAAUUCCGGGCAGUUUGGAAACCGGCAUCCCUCCAGCCACGAAGCCGCAUCCGUAAAGAAACAACGGCUGGUAUUUGGGACGCCGCUUCCCCCAGAAAGCUACCCCAUCCUUUUUUCUCUUUGGCUCCUGGCCUUUUAAUCUCUCUCCUUUAAAAUGAAAAAAAAAAGAGGUGAUGGUGGGGAAAUGGAAAAGAAAGCGGUGUGCUUCAAAAACGAGCAUUAGAUCAACAUGCAGUCGCCAUACCGUCCCGGAUUUCGUUCCAGAUCUUGGAGGAAGCUCCUACUUACCUACCUACCUCUCGACCGGCUGAAAUCCGGGAGACCC
rnacentral:lncRNA from 1 species